ensembl:lncRNA
AAACCCUGAGCCUUGACAUGUUUUUCUUUCGAUCCGUUUGAACAUUUUGCCUCCGGGGCUUCGCAUUAGAACCACUGAAUCCAUCGCAUGAGCUGAAUUGUUCUUGAUUGUCAUGAGAAAGAAAGACAGAGAGAGAAUGUGUGAGGCAAAAAGGAGGGGGAGAAAGUGUGACACUGUCCCUGGAGCAUUGAGCAAGCUGUCAGGGUGCGUCGAGUCACCAAGGGCUGCACGCUCGGACGACAGCGUCCCUUUGCAACCCGUCACGUGUUCGCUUGCGUGUCUUCCAUUUUCUGGGUGAGUCUGAUCGGUGUGUGUCUUACAUCUCGAAAGCUAAUGAGUGGCAUGACGUUAAAGUAUACAUCUAGCUGGAUGGUGACAAAGGAUGUGAUCUUAUUCCAAGCUUACGUUCCUGCCCAAGUGUAUGCCUGGGAGCACACCCACCAUCGAAACCCUUCAAUAAUAGCAAGCAAGCACAAUGGAAGAGAGUGGGUGGAAAGAGUGGAAUCGUGGGAAAGCGCUGCCUCCGGCUGAGCGAAUUAUCCUACAGGCCGCUGCUUCUUCCUCGUACGUCUGCCAUUCUCUGCAACUCCACCCUGUGUAAUGUGGAGAAGUGGACAAGGGACCAGAAAAAUGAAGGGAACUCUAGGGAACCCACAGGCCUACUUCAUCCGGGGGCAUAUCUCAGAUAUCUUACUCCUCAACCCCUCCGAUUGCAGUCCACUCGCUGUGCUGUUAAAGGAGCUGACAGUGAUGCAAGGGAUGCAAGACUGACAGUCAAGAAGAAUCCUCCAAGUGGCAAGACAUUAGGGUUAGAGAGUCGUGUGCUAGAUACACACACUUCGGCAUAUUCAGAGUUGAGCCGCACACGUAGGGAGGAGUCAAUACGGAAUACUUUAUUUUAAUUUCCCCAUGGGGGAUUAAUCAAAGUUUAUCUUAUCUUAUUUGAUCUCAUCUUAAAUUCUGUUUAUCACUUAUGCACAUGUCAAAGUCACGUGUGACUUUGACCGUGAACGUUUUGGCUAUUUUGUGCGAAAGC